GUUGUCACGCCGGUACGAACGGAUUACUUUGAUGGAGUAAAAAAUGAGAAUAAUUCUCUGACACCU
rnacentral:tRNA from 1 species